rnacentral:lncRNA from 1 species
UGCUCCCAUGACCAAAGAUGCCGUGUUGGGCAGCGGAUCUAUGACAAGGAGGAACCAGGACUGUAUAUAGCCUCUUUCUUCCCAGAAACCUUGAUGUGGGGAUCUGGAAAGAACCGGAAGAAAGGCUUACACAAGACGUCACACCUCCCUCAACUGCCCGCUCUGAGACCGAUUCCGCAAUCUGAAACAUUUUACAGUAAACCCUGCAGUUACUGCACUGGGCGAUCUAUAUGGUGUCUAUGCGGUCGCUAUGAUGACGAGCACAGGAGAGUAACCAGCGUGUGCACUGAUCAAUGUUUCGUUUCCCCUCUUCUGAGAACUGGAUGAGACAUUUACCUCUGACCUUUGCAAACUAAGCAAACCACACCGCUGUGAAAUAAAAUAAGGUAUCUGUGAA